CCCUGGUCAACGUUUUCGUGUCACUUUCCAACCUCUCUCUGUCAAGAAACCAGGAAAUUUCCCCGUCUAUUUCCAUUAAUGGCUUUCGUGAUUCCGAUGCGGUUCUGACAGGGACAAUAAAGAUUUCCUAAUUCGAGGCCUGCUCAGGAAUCCAAACCCCCGAACUUUCUCCCCUCAACGUCACCGUGCAAGUUCCUGGAAGUUUCCCCAGAAGCGUGAACGUCCACGCACGCCGCUGCGUAGUUUCUUCCCCAGUUUCGCGAAGAACAAGACUUCUAGCUCUUCUGUCGUCUUUCUCGGUCUUCUUCUGUUCUACACGCCCAAACCCAUGGAGUUUCUUCCGAUGAAUUCCGCACCCCGGAGUCAAUGAGACGGCUCUCGUUCAGCGGUCGUCGCACCACCGUACUCAAGUUGUUGUCGCGGCCCGUCGCCCUGCGCAGAACCGUCUUCGUCAAACACGGAGCGGAACAGAGACCGACGUUCGCCGCGGACGCUGGUGGCGAACCAGUCGGCGAUCGGCGAGUGGACCAAUCGGCCAUCACUGCUUGCUGGGUUUCGCUCAACUCAGUCCAGUCGGGUGGGGCAGAGGUCGCUCGUCGUCGUCGUCGAAUGUCUCAAAUCGUCAUGGAUUUCGUCGAAUUAGAUGGUGUCAGCUUUCAACGAGAUUCGAUCGGAUCGUGCGGCAAGCAACUGGCCAUCGAAGCUCCCUCAUCCUCCAGACUCGCAGCCUUGGAGCUUACGGUGGGUGAGUAGAAACAGAGACAGGCGAAGCAUCCGUUUUAUACGAGGUUCUUCAGUGAGCUGCAAAGUCUUCCUCGGAGAACCUCGCCCCGCGCCACGUCUGCCAGUCGUGCUUGGUAUAGCGCGCCGCCGUUCACCGCCGAGCGGAUCUCCGUCCGUGUUUACACGUGACGCCGACCUUCAUCGCAAUUCCGGAGAACAUGGGCCGGCGAGGUAUUGGCUGAUCUACUGUUUUAAUCGUGCGGUACGUUCGGUUAAAGUCUCGAAUGAGGAUUUUCUGGUGUGAGCAGCCACUGGAGUGUUGGAGAUUUUGGCUUUAAAUGAUUUGGUUACUUGAAAUUUCUGCUGAUUGAGUGAGCUACUGGAGGCGAGCAGAAAGGACGAACAAAGGAGAAAAGAGAGGAGGAAAAGUAGAAGGUAGAUGAUAAAUAAAGAUGAGAAAGUACUUGACAUAAAAAACUAUAUAUAAAAAAAGAUAUGUAAUAAGAAAGAUUAAAAAAUAAAACAUUAGAUUGCAUUUAGGUGUUCCAUGACUAGUUUCAUUAUCGUCGUAUUAGAAUUUGUCAUUCACUAUGUAGAUCAACAAAUUUACAUUUAUUAAUUUAGUACGCAUUUGUUUUUAUGAACCGCUCACAAGGUCAUGUUCCUGGGCGUAAUAACAAAACCCUGAUUAAUCUUGCCCAGUAUGGCUCGAGUAAUUUGUCAUUCUUGACAUAUAUGCAGUUUAUCUGCUUUUAUUUGUUAUUGCUUGGUUGUUUAUUUUUAUUGCUUGAGUGCUAUGCAAGGUCAUCUUGCUUCCACAUGUUAGAAGGUUUCGGUAAUAAGAUUGAUGGAGAUCACACUAUAAACGUUUUCAUAGAGAGAUAAGGUAUUGAAAGAGCGUUACAUUAAUUUGGCAUAGCCAAGUAUUAUAUUUAGAAUCUUAGAUUUGUGGGAGUAAGGCGUACCCUAGCAUGUUACUCGAGCUCCUAUGUGGCCUCUAUUAGGUUAGUGGCAGCUGUUAAAGUAAAAAUAAUUUUCACAAUUAAUCAAGGAAAUCAAGUUGCGAUUGGUAGGAUUUGAGAGAGUCCAACUAAGCACAACCGCCACCUUACAUUCACCCUUGCUUGGCAAUCCAUCAAACCUUCCUUGGGGUUCGCCUCAUAAGGGUCACAACAAUGAGCGUGUGGCGUCCCUUUCCAUCUCCUCACCUGACUAUGCCUCAUCCUGGGGCGAGCUAGGGAUGACAUUGUAGCACCUAGUCUCCGAGGAAGAGAUGAAGAUCAAAUAUGUGUACAAGAUGGAUAGGACUUGGCUGGAAGAGUAGAUGAGGGUGGACAUUAUGAGGGGAUGGGACUUGCAAGUGACCGCCGAAGCAUCGAUGCUUCAUCGGUCAAGGUGAGGUUGCCGGGGAAUCGUAAGACGAGGGUGAGCAGGACCGUGGCUUCAAUGAACUGCGAUGUUUUGAUCACAGUUAGUACCAUUAUGCUAACACAUUAGAUUCAAAUUGGAGACUAAGCACAUUGAGAUUUCCUCCUCCUUCCCCUCCCCCAAUGCCACGUAUUGUCACACCGAGUUUGAUGUCGCAUCGACAGGAUGGGAGGUGGAGGAUCGAGAUGGAAGGGGUGGCAAGAGACAUCUGACUUGCAAAAUAUUUUAGUUUAUAUCAAUAUUAGUCAAAUCGAAAUGUUUGGAUAUUUACAUAAAAAAAAGUUCAUAAAUUGUAAAUUAAUGUGCGAUUUAGUGACAAAGUGGUGUGAGUUUAGUGUA